GUCUUGUCAGUGAUGAUUUUAAUACACAAAUGUCUGAACUUAUGACUUAAUUGUGAUUCAACCUUUUAUCUGAGACAAGAC
ensembl:snoRNA Small nucleolar RNA SNORD72